rnacentral:sRNA from 18 species
CAAUAACUAUGAUGGUCAAAGCUCAUGGAAUUUGUAAGUCUUUUUGACGUACAAUUUUCGAGAGUUU